CCCCCAGAUGUUCUGGGCCGCACGCGCGCUACACUGAACAGUUCAACAAGUCUUAACCUUGGCCGAUAGGUCUGGGUAAUCUUUGAACGCUGUUCGUGACUGGGAUAGACCUUUGCAAUUAUGGGUCUUCAACGAGGAAUUCCUAGUAAACGCAAGUCAUCAGCUUGCAUUGAUUACGUCCCUGCCCUUUGUACACACCGCCCGUCGCACCUACCGAUUGAAUGGUCCGGUGAAAUCUCGGGACGGCGGCUUGGUCGCUUGCGUCCGACUGCUGAAACUUGAUUAAACCAUAUCAUUUAGAGGAAGGUGAAGUCGUAACA
rnacentral:rRNA from 1 species